CCUCCAGCUCCAGUGCUCGGGGCAGGGAAACCCGGCACCCCCCACUCGAGCCCCCUUGCCUCCUGCAGUCGCGGGCUUCGCCUGUGCAGCGCGUGCACGGCUGUGGCUCGAGCGCCCAGGGCUGAAUGCCGCAUGGCUCAUCCCCUCCCCUGUGAAGCGCCGGACUCAGCCCCGACGUUGCCUGCGGAGCCUACCUGCGCGGCGCGGAGCUGCUGGAGGCCUGCGCUAGCCCACCUGCGUGUGCCAGCUGUGGAGGCCCGGUGCAGAGCUAGCGGUCAUUGCAAGCGCUCCUGGCUCGAGGAGCGGAGCUGCUCGCCCGCGGAGCGCGAGGGCCGCCUCCAGCCGAUCCGUGCGUGCUGCCAGUGGCUUCGACCCAUGCAGACGCUGCCCAGCGCGUGACAGCCGGCUCCCCUCCAGUAGCCAGGCGACUUGGGGGCUCUCCGGGCACAGGGGAGGGAAUUUGGCCCUCCCUAGGGACAUCCCCGCGUCUCGCUUACACGGGGCCCGUCCGUCCCCACGCGAUCCCUCCCCCCGCCCAGCUGCUGCCGAAACAGCAGAUGAUCUGGGGGACACGGCGCUACUUUUCCAUGAGCAAGCGAGCUUUCCUGUGCGACCCAUCUGGAGGGCAGAAAGGAGCGUCCUGGCUUGCAAAGCCACAUUGCGUCCUAGACCAGCCGUCUGGCGGAUACACAGGGCCCUUUAUUCCAGCCAGCGCCAGGUGAUUUUCCACCGCAACUCCCCCUCUGCCGUCCCCGUGGCGGGAUCGCAGCCCGGAGCGCUGCCCCACGCGAGCCCCAUCACUGCCGAGACAGGCUUCGCAGAGGGGCUGAGGAGGAGAGAAGCACUUCCACAAUGUAUUUGAACUCCUUGAAGCCCAGGACUUGGCACGAUGCAGGCAGGGAGUAGGUAUUUUUGGGAGUUGUCAGGUUUAUCAGCAGCAGCAAGGUCUUUGGAAGGGGAUCGGGAUGUCCUGGCCUCUCAGCUGGAGACUCGGGACCUGUCAGGGUGGAUUAUGCCACACCUGUGCAGGUAUCGCAUCUUCCAGAAGCCCUCCACAGGGGUCACAGCUGGGGACGGGAGUCUGGUCCAGAGGGUCGCAGCGGCUGCACCCCUGCACGCAUGCGUCUUGCAGCAAAGGGCAUGAACCUGAGCUCCUGGAGAGCAGGGGCGCUGCAUCUCCCACCCCGUGGCUCAGCCCCCGGCUGCCUCCUCAUCCCAUUGAUCUGGGCAUCGUGCAAGACCACGAGGGGCCCAGGUCGGUGCAACGAGGCAUGCAGCAGCAUGCCUGGUCCUGCGCAGACAUUUGCAGCAGCACCACCCUGGUCCUGCCCAGGACCUUGGGCUGCGCCCCUGCCCCUGCAGCCAGCCCGGAGCUGCCGCACCCACCCCGCCCACAAGGGGGACACCCAGCUCCCUCCAGCUCUAUGGCUCUUUCCUGCAGGAAGUCGCUCACUACGGUCCUUCUUUCCACCACCUUUUACUCUAUGCUCCUGCCCGAGGCCCCCUCGUGGGGCUGCCCCAGCGACUGCCUGUUCACAACAACUGACACACGCCCGGAACCAGGGGGCACCCCGGGAAAUGGCUAAUAAGUCUCUCUUCGCCAUGCUCCCAUUCUUAUAAUCUGUUUCCUGAGCAGAACGCACACGAGCAGCCAUGUUUUCUGAGGGCACUCGGGAAGGAAGGCUCGGCAGCCAUCUUUGUUAGGGGCAGCGUGCUUUCCCCGCCCCACCUGAGGGGUAGCAGCCAUCUUGGCUGAGGGCACCGGGAGCGUCAGAUCCCGGGCGGCGCCAUUUUGAGUCCUGGCAAAACCUGUGGCAACGGGCGCGACGCCGGACCCCGCGCGCCCUCCCCGCGGAUACGGCACGGCCUCAACUCCUGGCUGGCGGGGUGCGGAGGCAGCGAGAUUUUUCCAAGUCUGGAGGCUCACAGCUGGAACACCACUAAAACUCAGCCCCUGUCAGGAAGUCCCAUGCUGUGUGCAGUUGGUGCCUUUCAGGCUGGAAAUACUGCACUCUGCUUCUGAAAAUGGACUUCAAACAGCCAGAGAUGGCUGGGGGACAGCUGUCUUGCCCAGGGACCCUGGCUGACUGGGGGAGUGCUGGCAGAAGCUAUUCUCCUGGACCCAUGAGACACCCUUCCCUCUUCUCCCCCACCCCGGCCUGUUGUAUGGAGAGCACCUGUAGCUGAUACCUGCUUCACUGCUGGCAUAAGGUCUUGUGCAGAACUCAUACAGCUCACAAUGUGUCCAUACAUCUCUUCUUUAUCUUGAGAGACACCCGAAACACUAGCAAGUGCCAAGACAAAUUGAAGCAUCCAGCCUAAGGAAACAAGCACAUGGUGGAGUCCAUAUGUUCUAAAAUUAGGCUCAUCUUUGUUUAUAACGAUAUGUAAUAAAUGAAUACGUUGCA